GAUUCUGGCUCAGGAUGAACGCUGGCGGCGUGCUUAACACAUGCAAGUCGAACGGGUUUAGCGAGAGCUGCUUUGCUAAAACUAGUGGCGGACGGGUGAGUAACGCGUGAGUAACCUGCCUUAGACUGGGGGAUAACACUUAGAAAUAGGUGCUAAUACCGCAUAAGCGCACAGUGCCGCAUGGCACAGUGUAGAAAAACUCCGGUGGUCUAAGAUGGACUCGCGUCUGAUUAGCUAGUUGGUGAGGUAACGGCCCACCAAGGCGACGAUCAGUAGCCGGCCUGAGAGGUGAACGGCCACAUUGGGACUGAGACACGGACCCAAACUCCGUACGGGAGGCAGCAGUGGGGGAUAUUGCACAAUGGGCGAAAGCCUGAUGCAAGCGACGCCGCGUGAGUGAAGAAGUAUUUCGGUAUGUAAAGCUCUAUCAGCAGGGAAGAAAAUGACGGUACCUGACUAAGAAGCCCCGGCUAACUACGUGCCAGCAGCAGC
rnacentral:rRNA from 1 species